GGGAUGAGUGGCGAUCAACAUGUGAGAAUCAUGUUCGCCGUAAACCUAAGGUUUCCUACGGAAGGUUCGUCCGCGUAGGGUUAGUCGGUCCUAAGCCGAGGGCUAAAGCCGUAGGCGAUGGACAACGGGUUAAUAUUCCCGUACCACCUAAGGUGAGCUAUGGGGUGACGCAGAAUGGUAAGCCAGCCCGGUGUUGGAUUCGGGUGCUAAACCACUAGGGAAGUGAGGGGGGUAGGCAAAUCCGCUCCCUGAUCCUGAAGGGUGAUGGCGGUGCCUUCGGGCCACAAGUGGCCUAGCCAACCUGCCAAGAAAAGCCUCUGUGCGUUGAUCCUUGGGUGUCCGUACCGCAAACCGACACAGGUGGGUGGGUAGAGUAUACCAAGGCGUUCGGGAGAAUCCUCGUUAAGGAACUAAGCAAAAUGACUCCGUAACUUCGGGAGAAGGAGUGCCUUCCUGGGUUAGCUUAGGCAAAGCCCGGGGUGGCCGCAGUGAAAGGGCCCUACUGACUGUUUAACAAAAACACAGGUCUCUGCAAAAGCGUAAGCUGAUGUAUAGGGGCUGACGCGUGCCCAGUGCCGGAAGGUUAAAGGGAUCGGUUAGCGCAAGCAAAGCUGAGAACUGAAGCCCCGGUGAACGGCGGCCGUAACUAUAACGGUCCUAAGGUAGCGAAAUUCCUUGUCGGGUAAGUUCCGACCCGCACGAAUCGCGUAACAAGUGGGGCGCUGUCUCAACGAGGAACCCGGCGAAAUUGAAGUAGGCGUGAAGAUGCGUCUUACCCGCAGCAGGACAAAAAGACCCCGUGAAGCUUUACUGUACCCUGAAUUGAGUUGAGGCUUUUUCUGUGUAGGAUAGGUGGGAGGCUUUGAAGCCGGGGCGCUAGCUUCGGUGGAGCCAACGUUGAAAUACCACCCUGAGAAAGUUUCGACCCUAACCCGUUGCCGUGAUCCGGCGUGGGGACAGUGCCAGGUGGGCAGUUUGACUGGGGCGGUCGCCUCCCAAAAGGUAACGGAGGCGCUCAAAGGUUCCCUCAGGCUGAAUGGAAACCAGCCGUGGAGUGCAAAGGCACAAGGGAGCUUGACUGCAAGAGCAACGACUCGAGCAGAGACGAAAGUCGGACUUAGUGAUCCUACGGUCCCGUGUGGAAGGGCCGUAGCUUAACGGAUAAAAGCUACUCCGGGGAUAACAGGGUAGUCUUGCCCAAGAGUUCACAUCGACGGCAAGGUUCGCCACCUCGAUGUCGGCUCGUCACAUCCUGGGGCUGGAUAAGGUCCCAAGGGUUCGGCUGUUCGCCGAUUAAAGUGGCACGCGAGCUGGGUUCAGAACGUCGUGAGACAGUUCGGUCUCUAUCCGCUGUGGGCGCAGGUGACUUGAGGGGAGCUGUCCUUAGUACGAGAGGACCAGGAUGGACGAGCCUCUGGUGUGCCAGUUGUACCGCCAGGUGCAUCGCUGGGUAGCCACGCUCGGCAGAGAUAACCGCUGAAAGCAUCUAAGUGGGAAACUCGCCCCAAGAUUAGGUCACCCAUUCCGUAAGGAAGUAAGACCCCUGGAAGACCACCAGGUUGAUAGGCGGCAUGUGUAAGGGCAGUAAUGUCUUAAGCAAAGCCGUACUAAUGGUCGAGGGCUUAAUCA
rnacentral:rRNA from 1 species